UUCGAACCAUUCUUACCUAUGCAAUCAUUAGCCAUCAGGAAUUAUCUGUUUUUUGAUAGGGCAGAAUUAUCUGCAUUACAUAAAAUUACAAUUCAUUUCGAACCAUUCUUACCUAUGCAAUCAUUAGCCAUCAGGAAUUAUCUGUUUUUUGAUAGGGCAGAAUUAUCUGCAUUACAUAAAAUUACAAUUCAUUUCGAACCAUUCUUACCUAUGCAAUCAUUAGCCAUCAGGAAUUAUCUGUUUUUUGAUAGGGCAGAAUUAUCUGCAUUACAUAAAAUUACAAUUCAUUUCGAACCAUUCUUACCUAUGCAAUCAUUAGCCAUCAGGAAUUAUCUGUUUUUUGAUAGGGCAGAAUUAUCUGCAUUACAUAAAAUUACAAUUCAUUUCGAACCAUUCUUACCUAUGCAAUCAUUAGCCAUCAGGAAUUAUCUGUUUUUUGAUAGGGCAGAAUUAUCUGCAUUACAUAAAAUUACAAUUCAUUUCGAACCAUUCUUACCUAUGCAAUCAUUAGUCAUCAGGAAUCAUCUGUUUCAUUUGAUAGGGCAGAAUUAAAGUGCUGCAGCUUUAUGGCAUAUAUUUUAUUUGUUCAAUUUCAUUUUCCUCAAAGUUCUUAGCUUUCUAUUAGGUCCGAUGAAGAAAUUGGGCCACUCUCUCCAAUAGCUGUCAGUCUUGCAGCUGGAUUUUCCGGUUCUAUUGCUUCUGCUGCAUCUCAUUGUUUUGACACUGCUAAAAUUCGAUCGCAGUCCACUGUGCUGCCCAGGUAUAUUUCAAUGGAGAGGAGAUUGUUAAAAUGGAGACGACCAGGUAAUUGGUUUGAGAGAGUUACAGGGAUCCACCCGGCAGACAGGAAUCUCUUGUUCCGUGGUAUCUGGUUGCGAAUGGCUCGGAGUGGGUUAGCGUCAUUUAUGAUUGUUGGAAGCUACUAUUUUGCUGUUGAUUAUAUUGUUUAUGAAUGAUACCAAGAAAGAAGAAAAAGGACAAAAAAAAAAAAAAAAAAAAAAAAAAAAAAAAAAAAAAAAAAAAAAGGAAAA